AUUGAACGCUGGCGGCAUGCUUUACACAUGCAAGUCGAACGGCAGCGCGGGCUUCGGCCUGUAGUCGAGUGGCGAACGGGUGAGUAAUGCAUGGGAACGUGCCCAUUAGCGGGGGAUAGACCGGAGAAAGCCGGAUUAAUACCGCAUACGACCUGAGGGUGUAAGGGGGGGACCGAAAGGCCUUCGGCUGUUGGGGAGGGCGAUGUCGGAUUAGCUAGUUGGUGGGGUAAAGGCUUACCAAGGCGACGAUCCGUAGCUGGUCUGAGAGGACGAGCAGCCACACUGGGACUGAGACACGGCCCAGACUCCUACGGGAGGCAGCAGUGGGGAAUUUUGGACAAUGGGGGCAACCCUGAUCCAGCCAUGCCGCGUGCGUGAAGAAGGCCUUCGGGUUGUAAACCGCUUUUGUUCGGGAAGAAAACCUCUGGGCUAAUACCCCGGUGGGAUGACGGUACCGGAAGAAUAAGCACCGGCUAACUACGUG
rnacentral:rRNA from 1 species